CCUACGGGCGGCUGCAGUGAGGAAUAUUGGUCAAUGGGCGAGAGCCUGAACCAGCCAAGUCGCGUGAAGGAUGACGGCCCUACGGGUUGUAAACUUCUUUUGUCAGGGAGCAAUUGCGUCCACGCGUGGGCUUAUCGAGAGUACCUGAAGAAAAAGAAUCGGCUAACUCCGUCCCAGCAGCCGCGGUAAUACGGAGGAUGCGAGGGUUAUCGGGAUUUAUUGGGUUAAAGGGGUGCGUAGGCGGAAUAUCAGGUCAGCGGUAAAAGUUCGGGGCCCAACCCCGUCGUGCCGUUGAAACUGGUGUUCUUGAGGUGGAGAGAAGUAUGCGGAAUGCGUGGUGUAGCGGUGAAAUGCAUAGAUAUCAUGCAGAACUCCGAUUGCGAAGGCAGCAUGCCGGCGCCCAACUGACGCUGAGGCACGAAAGCGUGGGUAUCGAACAGGAUUAGAUACCCUGGUAGUC
rnacentral:rRNA from 1 species